GCGCGCAUAACGGCCCCAGACUCCGCCGCGCGCGCACGCCCGCGCCACCGCCCCGCGCGACGUAAACACGAAACUACGACCACUAGUGACAGUUCUCAGUGUUGUGAUCGAAAACUUUGUGAUUGCCAACCAAAAAGGAUUCUUUCUUACAAGGUGGUGCAGCCAGCUUACUGCUACUUUGAGAUGUGUAGGUGAGCGCUGGGGGCAUGGGCCAGGCGGGCAGUCAGCCGGCCGCCGCGCCGCCGCGCCGCGCGCACACGCUGCCUCACGAGCCGCCUAGACAUGCGCCUAAGGUGCUCCCAUCCCUGACGGAGAGCCCGCGCCUGCGCAGCACCAACAACGGGCAGAUCCUGCAGUCGGGCGGCACCAUCAGCGGCCGCCGCCCCUCGCAGCCCGAGCACCGCGCCCCGCAUGGACAUACGCAUAUGAAUGCGUUUCGCUCGCGCUCCGCGGGGGCUGCGGGGGCCGAGGGGGCUCCGAGGGACAGAGAGAGGGAUCCGCUACACCGCUCACACACCAACCUGGACCUGAGACAACAUGAAGGGAGCUUAAGCAAAAGGUUUGGGUCAGAACCAGAUCUAAGGAUAGAAGAAGAACAACAGAAACCAAGAAACAACAACAACAAACAUUUCAGGAAAAAGUAUAGAGCUCCUCCCCCUCCACAAAUUGAUAACAGAGAUGGUUCGUCACCUGAUUCCAGCGAGGGAAACACAAGAGCAGAACCACAAAGAAAGCUCCGUUUAUUCAAAACGAGAAACGAAACCAAGAAACAAAAUGUCCCCGUCAAAGAAUCCAAAAUACCACAAUACAGAAGUACUGAAUACAAAUCACUUGAUCUUAAUAAUCAAGCAUUUGAGAGGCGAUAUAAGUCCCCUUUCAAGGAUAAAGAUCAACAUUUCAAGUACCCCGACACCCAUGAUAUGAAACAAAGCACAUCGUCCCUCAAACGAGAAGAGCACAUCCUGCAGGGCUCUAAACAAGACUACAGGAAGUCGAGGACGGAUAGAACCGGCGGGUGCAGAGCGAAGACAAACAAAACCAACGAAACUGAAGCGUGGAAAACACCGCUUCUAAACAGAGACUUCAGAUAUUCUGAAAGAUUCAAAAGAGAAGAGGAAAUCUCCCCUCUCAGGAGAGAGAAGUCCUUUGAUGCAACUCUAAUAUCGAGUGACAGAGACAGCGAAUCUCCUAAAGCAUUACACGAAAGUAGAAUGAAAACUAUAGGAGAGCAGCUGAAAGUAAACAAGCUGAGUCCACUGGCAUCGACCAGCAAGCCUUUGAGGAAAUCUCUUCCUUCACUAUUAGUAAAAAAUAUUGAAGAAAAAGACGAAUUCCAGACGGAACUCAAAAAGGCAACAAGUAGAAUUAGAAGCGAUUUAGUAAGUAAAGUUAAUAAUAUAAGUGAAAACAAAACUAGUCAGAAAGAAAAAUCGAAUGCACAGAGACCAAACCCAACGAAAAAUUCAGCGUCAGUUGUUAAUAAAGUCAAAGACUCUAGUCCAAAAAUCAGCAUUAAGAAACCAUUAAAAGAAGAAAUAAGUGUUUCUAAGCUAUCAAGUAAUAGAAGGCCUUUAACGCGACUGAAUGACAACAAGCCGACGAUCACUGCAAGCAGUAAUGUGAAGACCACUAAUGUCACCGUGCACGUGAACAGCAAGAGGAACCCGAGGGCGAUGCCAGACCGAGGACAAGCUUCCGGGAAGGAGUCCACGCCAGAACACUCUCCCACCAGGAAGAAGGAGCCAGUCAUGAACCAUUUUUCGAAAGAAAAAGCACCACCGCAAGAAAGAAAGCAGUCAGCGCCAUCGAAGCAGUUCUACUUCGGCAUGAUCGAGCAGAAGCAAUCAGCACAGAAGGACAACCUCAAGGACUUCCCCGGGCUCGGCAGCCCCAUCAUCGAGGAGAUCAGCAACUUCCACCUCAUUGAGAAGAAGCUGCUCGGAUACCAUGAUGAGGACGAGGAGUUCGAGAAAUUCAAUGCGAGGUUGAAAGAGGACUGCAAGAUUAAGAACAUAUCAUCCGAGUCAGCGCUCUCCUCGGACGGCUCCGAAGGCGAGGGCUCGGACAGCUCGCUGGGCAUCGCGCUGCGGCUGCGGCCCACGCUGCCCAAGAAGCAGCCGGCCGUGCCCAGGUUCUCUCCUGCAGCUGCAUGGAGGCAGCUCGCGAGUUUGGAUGCUCAUCUUGCUGCUGAAACCCAGCCGCUAGCAGUGGAGACCAAGGUCCUGGGCGAGGCGUCCCCAGAGUCCUCCCCGCGGUCGGAGCAGUCCGCGGACAAGUCCGGAGACUCCGGGAUAUCGGGAGACCAUGCACACAGCGACCCCCGCCUCGACUCACCCUCCAGACAUCAUCCGGAGAUCCACCCGGACACGUGGACGCCGCAGCAGGACCUGGGUGACAGCAGCUCGGACGGCGCCGGGCAGGACCUGGUCCGGAUGCACCCGGACGGGCUGGUCACCUACUCCGCCCGGGGACAGCCCUUCAGCCUCAGCCUGCCGCGGGAACCGGACAAAUUUAAAGGGAUGUCGUGCUUUUACGAAUGCUUCCAGGGCAAGCAGAUCCAGCAGGGAUUCAACAGCUUGCAGAAGCUCCGAAAAUCUGUAUCUGGAGCUUUAGGGGCAGCCCUGGGUUCCAGAAGGUUCGACUUGGAGCACGAGCCGAUGCUUCCUGAGCAGGAGCAGAACUGGUUCCUCACCAAGUCUGCUCCCAACUCGCUGAGCAACCCGCUCCUGUUCCCGACGGCAAGGAAGGUGUCGGCGGAAGAGGAUAUUAAAGAGGAGACUCCGCCGCCUGAAGAAAAGCAGGAGGAGUCGGGCAGCUGGCGUCCCGGCGGCGCGUCCUACAUGUCGUGGGGCGGGCACGUGAUGUACCUGCCCCCCGCGCCCGCCGCCGCCAGGCAGCCGCUCUCCAUGCUGGGGCCUAUUGAUAGACCUGUCAGGAGCAAAUCAAGUGGCGAGUUAGAAGUAGCAGCGAGAGCAGCGCGGGCGGCGCGGGGCGGCGCGCUGGCGGGCGAGAUGCGCGAGCGGGAGCGCUCCGCCUCGCCCGGCGUGGCGCGAGCGCUGCCGGCCACCGUGCACCCUGUCACGCGCAAGUCCACGGAGUCCAGGUCUCGCGGCAAGCGGUUCACGUUCCAGUCCACGGUGAGACAGCUGGAGCGGCGCCGUCUCGCGGAGCGCCUGUCGCGGGAGGCUGAUCUGAAGGAGCAGCAGCGGAAGACCGAGCUGGAGGCCAUGAGGAGAGUGGAAGAGGAGUUCCAGCGCAAGCGCGCGCGGGAGAAGGCGAGCAUCCGGCAGCAGCUGCGCCUGGUGAGCGGCUCGGCCAGCAUGCCCAGCAACAACCACCACGCGAAGCUCCGCGACGAACCGGACGGCUCUGCGUUCCGCGAGUCCCCCGCCCCGGAGUCUCGCUCGCGGGACAGCCGCGACGGACGCGCACGACACUCCAACGCCUCGUCUGAGACCAGUGGACGUAGCAAGAGCACCACACCGGUCCGCUGCAUAGAGCUGUCCGAGUGGCGCGUGGCGGGUGACAGCGCAGCGCGACAGUACCGCGACUGGGGCGCGCGGCCGGCGCCGGCGCACGCGCACCCGCCCGCCUGCGCGCGCAUGCCUAUCGCCACUCCUGCUGUUUAUAAUGCGACAGAAGUGGAAGCGUUCACCGGCAGCCCCCGCUCGGACAACUACCGUCUGGAGUUCGCCCGCGGCGUGGCGCGCUCCCCCCGCACCCCGCGCGCCCCGCGGCUCCUGGCUGCGAGGGAACCCUCCAGCUCCGGGUCUGAACUCAGUCUGAGGCACCCUAUACAGAUCAGGUGGUGAUUCGGAGGUAGUAGUUGCGAGCUAAACUAGUCUAACAUUAUGCCUUGCGCCUUCAGCAGCCGAGAGGAGACAAAAGAGGAACCGGAAGAGCCGGCCAUAGUGCCCACCCUGCGCCCCGCCGGCCCCGCGCGCGCCGCCGUCGCUACGCAUUGACCAUUUGCGACCCAUUCACGUCCCAACUCUGGACCAGAGAACACGUACCGACCAACGCUCUUCAUGUAAAAAUGUAAUAGAGCAUGUAAAACUGUAUCGUCGUUUUUAAUUAUAUCUUAUUUUUGUACAUGGUUUAUAUUAAAUAAUGUAAUGGAAUAUUUGUUCAUGUAUUAUGAUGGGUAAUUGAAUUGCAUCAUUUGUAAGAAUCGUAUACGACCUAUUGAUUUUAUUAUAUAAACUAAAAGCGUUUUUUAAUUUAGUUUUUCAACGUAACAGAUAUAAAUAAAUAUGUACCUACUUACUUACUUGCAAAAAUAUUAAAUUGUCCACAGUCUGAUAUAAUAAAUUGUUUGAGAAAUUAGGUAAGGGUGUGUUCAAGAGAGAAGUAGGAGUCACGCGAGCCUCAUUGAUCGCAAUUUGGGUCAACCGGCUGCCACAAUGUAAACACACCCUUUAAUCAAAAUGAGCAAAAUUUACCGAACAGUAAAUUUACUUGCUACUGAUUUUAAAUAUUUUGAAUAGAAAAUUAACAUAAGUUAUGUUAUAUUGUCAUUAUUUUAUUACUCGGUAGUUUAUGAGUUUUUCAUAAUGUAUUGACUCCGAUGCAUGCUUUAAUCGUGUUGAAUAAGAACUUAUUGUAAAUAUUGAAUAAGUAUAUUAAUUUACUUGAUAAGAUUAACAAUUUAAUUAUGUCUUCCAUUUAAACCUUUGACAGUAAAUAUAUUUUUAAUGUAUAAAUUAAACUUUUGUUUUGGUGCUAUUAUUAAUCAGUAUUUUUACAAUAACCUAGGCAUAUUAUACCUACCAUGCUUUCUUACGAGUAUCUGUCUGUACUUUGUUCAUAAAUGUAUAAAUCCAUAUUAUGAUAUUAGUCUAAGCCUUACCUGUGCAACUACUUAAUUAUAACAACAUUAAAAUAAAACCACUUACUGCUCAAUAUAAAUUCAAGUUAGUUCUGCCUACCACCGCUUUUUAAUUAAAACUUGAACCACUUUCAACGAUCAGUACACCCCGCAACGCCACGAUCAAUCAUAAGUCAUAACUUAAUUUUAUAGUUUGUCGCUGCGCGCCUUAACUAGGGCGAAGGGUGAAGUUGCUAAACCAAUUUUUUCAUUACCUACCUUCUUUCUAUUGUAUGAAGGUACAGUAAGCGGCAGAGAAACCUGACCCCUCUCAGAAACAUUGUUACUAUGAGAGGAGGGUCAGGUUUCUCUGCACAUGACCGUACUCAACUUUUUCAACUGCCUUACAAAGUUUGGGAUUAUUCUAUAACUGUUUUGACAGCAAAAUACUAACUUACUUAAUUUUAAAGCCUCGAUUUCUAAGCACAUUGCAUAAUAUUUUAUAAGUAUUAUGUUAGGAAAGUUAUACAUAGUUAUUAAAUACGUUUACAUUGUAUAUUUACAUAAAAUAUAUACUUAAUUAUUUUACCACAUACGUAAUCGGUGCAAUAUGAACACAGUUUUAUAUUAAGACGUGAUUAUAAAAAGCUCAAUUUCUAAUUAAGAUUGUUUAAAUUGGAAUAUCAAAUUAAAUAAGCAAUUAAUCUUAUUUAUAGGAAUGUAAUACUAAUACUAAUAUAUACUCAAAGUAAUUGUAUCUAAGUACCUAGACAUAAUAAGAUUGUACAGAAUUAUAACGAAAUGGUGCAUUGUACAUAAUAAUAUAUUCAUAAGCAAUAUGUAAGUGUGCAAGAAAAAAUAAAAUAAAAUUUGUAUUUUGAUA